rnacentral:rRNA from 1 species
GACGAACGCUGGCGGCGUGCUUAACACAUGCAAGUCGAACGGUAAGGCCCUUCGGGGUACACGAGUGGCGAACGGGUGAGUAACAUGUGGGUGAUCUGCCCUGCACUUCGGGAUAAGCCUGGGAAACUGGGUCUAAUACCGGAUAGGACCACUGCCUGCAUGGGUGGUGGUGGAAAGCUUUUGCGGUGUGGGAUGGGCCCGCGGCCUAUCAGCUUGUUGGUGGGGUGAUGGCCUACCAAGGCGACGACGGGUAGCCGGCCUGAGAGGGUGACCGGCCACACUGGGACUGAGAUACGGCCCAGACUCCUACGGGAGGCAGCAGUGGGGAAUAUUGCGCAAUGGGCGCAAGCCUGAUGCAGCGACGCCGCGUGGGGGAUGACGGCCUUCGGGUUGUAAACCUCUUUCAGCACCGACGAAGCGCAAGUGACGGUAGGUGCAGAAGAAGGACCGGCCAACUACGUGCCAGCAGCCGCCGUAA